rnacentral:rRNA from 1 species
CCUACGGGCGGCAGCAGUGAGGAAUAUUGGUCAAUGGGCGGGAGCCUGAACCAGCCAAGUCGCGUGAGGGAAGACGGUCCUAUGGAUUGUAAACCUCUUUAGGCGGGGAGCAAUGCCGGGCACGUGUGCCCGGAGGGAGAGUACCCGCAGCAUAAGCAUCGGCUAACUCCGUGCCAGCAGCCGCGGUAAUACGGAGGAUGCGAGCGUUAUCCGGAUUGAUUGGGUUUAAAGGGUGCGUAGGCGGAUUUUUAAGUCAGCGGUAAAAUGUCGGGGCUCAACCCGGGCCGGCCGUUGAAACUGGGGAUCUUGAGUGGGCGAGAAGUAUGCGGAAUGCGUGGUGUAGCGGUGAAAUGCAUAGAUAUCACGCAGAACUCCGAUUGCGAAGGCAGCAUACCGGCGCCCGACUGACGCUGAGGCACGAAAGCGUGGGGAUCGAACAGGAUUAGAUACCCCGGUAGUC